GGGGCUAUAGCUUAGCUGGGAGAGCAUCCCGUUCGCAUCGGGAAGACCGGAGUUCGAUUCUCCGUAGCUCCA
rnacentral:tRNA from 1 species